AUUGAACGCUGGCGGCCGGCCUAACACAUGCAAGUCGAACGAGUGGCGGACGGGUGAGUAAUGUCUGGGAAACUGCCUGAUGGAGGGGGAUAACUACUGGAAACGGUAGCUAAUACCGCAUACCAUCGGAUGUGCCCAGAUGGGAUUAGCUAGUAGGUGGGGUAACUGCUCACCUAGGCGACGCUCCCUAGCUGGUCUGAGAGGAUGACCAGCAACACUGGAACUUAGACACUGUCCCGACUCCUACGGGAGGCAGCAGUGGGGAAUAUGUCACAAUGGGCGCAAGCCUGAUGCAGCCAUGCCGCGUGUAUGAAGAAGGCCUUCGGGUUGUAAAGUACUUUCAGCGGGGAGGCGUUACCCGCAGAAGAAGCACCGGCUAACUCCGUGCCAGCCGCCGCGGUAAUUC
rnacentral:rRNA from 1 species